rnacentral:rRNA from 1 species
UGAACUUAAGCAUAUCAAUAAGCGGAGGAAAAGAAACUAACAAGGAUUCCCCUAGUAGCGGCGAGCGAAGCGGGAAGAGCUCAAAUUUAUAAUCUGGCACCUUCGGUGUCCGAGUUGUAAUCUCUAGAAAUGUUUUCCGCGUUGGACCGCACACAAGUCUGUUGGAAUACAGCGGCAUAGUGGUGAGACCCCCGUAUAUGGUGCGGACGCCCAGCGCUUUGUGAUACAUUUUCGAAGAGUCGAGUUGUUUGGGAAUGCAGCUCAAAUUGGGUGGUAAAUUCCAUCUAAAGCUAAAUAUUGGCGAGAGACCGAUAGCGAACAAGUACCGUGAGGGAAAGAUGAAAAGCACUUUGGAAAGAGAGUUAACAGUACGUGAAAUUGUUGGAAGGGAAACGCUUGAAGUCAGACUUGCUUGCCGAGCAAUCGGUUUGCAGGCCAGCAUCAGUUUUCCGGGAUGGAUAAUGGUAGAGAGAAGGUAGCAGUUUCGGCUGUGUUAUAGCUCUCUGCUGGAUACAUCUUGGGGGACUGAGGAACGCAGUGUGCCUUUGGCGGGGGUUUCGACACUCUGCA